rnacentral:misc_RNA from 1 species
CAUCAGACUUGGUGAAGUGGU